rnacentral:rRNA from 1 species
ACGAAAAAUGAAUACCAAGUCUCAAGAGUGAACACGUAAUUCAUUACGAAGUUUAAUUCAUUGAGCAUCAAACUUUUAAAUUGAAGAGUUUGAUCAUGGCUCAGAUUGAACGCUGGCGGCAGGCCUAACACAUGCAAGUCGAACGGUAACAGGAAGCAGCUUGCUGCUUUGCUGACGAGUGGCGGACGGGUGAGUAAUGUCUGGGAAACUGCCUGAUGGAGGGGGAUAACUACUGGAAACGGUGGCUAAUACCGCAUAACGUCGCAAGACCAAAGAGGGGGACCUUCGGGCCUCUUGCCAUCAGAUGUGCCCAGAUGGGAUUAGCUUGUUGGUGAGGUAACGGCUCACCAAGGCGACGAUCCCUAGCUGGUCUGAGAGGAUGACCAGCCACACUGGAACUGAGACACGGUCCAGACUCCUACGGGAGGCAGCAGUGGGGAAUAUUGCACAAUGGGCGCAAGCCUGAUGCAGCCAUGCCGCGUGUAUGAAGAAGGCCUUCGGGUUGUAAAGUACUUUCAGCGGGGAGGAAGGUGUUGUGGUUAAUAACCGCAGCAAUUGACGUUACCCGCAGAAGAAGCACCGGCUAACUCCGUGCCAGCAGCCGCGGUAAUACGGAGGGUGCAAGCGUUAAUCGGAAUUACUGGGCGUAAAGCGCACGCAGGCGGUCUGUCAAGUCGGAUGUGAAAUCCCCGGGCUCAACCUGGGAACUGCAUUCGAAACUGGCAGGCUUGAGUCUUGUAGAGGGGGGUAGAAUUCCAGGNNNNNNNNNNNNNNNNNNNNGUGAAAUGCGUAGAGAUCUGGAGGAAUACCGGUGGCGAAGGCGGCCCCCUGGACAAAGACUGACGCUCAGGUGCGAAAGCGUGGGGAGCAAACAGGAUUAGAUACCCUGGUAGUCCACGCCGUAAACGAUGUCUACUUGGAGGUUGUGCCCUUGAGGCGUGGCUUCCGGAGCUAACGCGUUAAGUAGACCGCCUGGGGAGUACGGCCGCAAGGUUAAAACUCAAAUGAAUUGACGGGGGCCCGCACAAGCGGUGGAGCAUGUGGUUUAAUUCGAUGCAACGCGAAGAACCUUACCUGGUCUUGACAUCCACGGAAGUUUUCAGAGAUGAGAAUGUGCCUUCGGGAACCGUGAGACAGGUGCUGCAUGGCUGUCGUCAGCUCGUGUUGUGAAAUGUUGGGUUAAGUCCCGCAACGAGCGCAACCCUUAUCCUUUGUUGCCAGCGGUCCGGCCGGGAACUCAAAGGAGACUGCCAGUGAUAAACUGGAGGAAGGUGGGGAUGACGUCAAGUCAUCAUGGCCCUUACGACCAGGGCUACACACGUGCUACAAUGGCGCAUACAAAGAGAAGCGACCUCGCGAGAGCAAGCGGACCUCAUAAAGUGCGUCGUAGUCCGGAUUGGAGUCUGCAACUCGACUCCAUGAAGUCGGAAUCGCUAGUAAUCGUGGAUCAGAAUGCCACGGUGAAUACGUUCCCGGGCCUUGUACACACCGCCCGUCACACCAUGGGAGUGGGUUGCAAAAGAAGUAGGUAGCUUAACCUUCGGGAGGGCGCUUACCACUUUGUGAUUCAUGACUGGGGUGAAGUCGUAACAAGGUAACCGUAGGGGAACCUGCGGUUGGAUCACCUCCUUACCUUAAAGAAGCGUACUUUGCAGUGCUCACACAGAUUGUCUGAUGAAAA